UCAGGUGCCUAUAUCGGCGGUGUCCACCUCUUCCCAUUCCGAACAGAGAAGUUAAGCCCGCCAGAGCCGAUGGUACUGCAGUAAAAUGUGGGAGAGUAGGUCGGUGCCAACCUUUAUCAUCCGAAGAGGAUGUAAAACUAAAAGCCUUUGCUAUCAGCAAAGGCUUUUCUCGUUUUCAGACUUUU
rnacentral:rRNA from 1 species